CAGCGCUAAACUGACGUUAGGGUUUUUGCGUUUGAAACGCAAUAACAAUGGCGCCGUUCGGGUGCAUCAAGCCUGCAAUAUUCGGCAAAAACAAUCUCACAUUCGCGGUUUCAACGCCUACAAUCGCCACAAAAGUUCUUGAACGAUUGUGUAAUGAUUGUGGAGGUGGAGAUAACAAUGAUCCCAGUGAUGAAACAUUUAGUAAUCAGAAAAUGAGGGUGAAACAGAGGUGAGAAGAGUUGGCGCUCCCUUUCAAUGGUAGAGAGGUUGAGGAACCAAACAAACACGACCCCUUGUAUUUCACUUUCAUGGUUAGUUGAUACUUGGCAACUCUUGAGGGAUCAUUCUUCCUUAUUCUUUCUCGGAUGGUAAUGGGUAUUGCUUGUUUGACAAAAUAAAUGGAUGAAACUCCUAUGUUCAUCUGUUUAAUAAAAUAGACCAUGCAAACUUCAAGCUUUAGUUAUUGUCGUGUCUAGGUUCUUCAAGUUUUCUAUUUUCAUAACUGCAUAGAAGGGCCAUGUGUUUACGUCUCUGUAUUACUGAAUCAUUCAUUCGGGAUAUAGAUAUAGUCUUACAUUGUAUACAUUGGUCUGUCAUCGAUUGUUCUAGAUACUCAUUGUCAUGUGUUAACUUGCCGAUUAACAAGACGAUUGAACUCAGAGUUGCAGAAUGGGAGAGUCACAUCCAUAUAUGAUAAAUUCAUGAGUAUUCAAUAAAGCCAAUUCAGGAUUGCAGAAUUGCACCAUCCACCAUGCCAAGUACAGUGCCAAAUUCUUUAGCAUAUAUUGGUGGCUGCAAUUAACAUAAACUCAGAAAGCUUAAGACAAUCAACAAGAAGUUAGGUUAUAUUUUGUCCUAUGUUAGGUUGCUACAGUCAACCUAAGAUCAAGGCUGUCAACUAUUCUAUUACAACCUUUUUUAACAUUUUAGCUAACUUCUUACUGUUUGAGGUUGGUUACCAUGUGAAUAAAUGGUGCAAAAAUCAAUAUGCUUUUUGUUUCCCCUUAAAAGUUCACAUUCUCCAGACUGUCAGAGAAAAACGGUGCAGUUACUAUUCGAAACCUUUAAUGUCUCGGGAUUUUAUGCGUUGGAGCGAGCAGUAUUAUCUCUCUAUGUUGUCGGGCAUAUCUCAGGUUGUACUGUUGAUAUUGGUCAUGGGAAGAUAGGUACAUACCUGUAUGCCUUUUAAGAGUGUAGUGUUUAAGUUUUUGGCUGCUUGAUUCAUGUUCUUUGUGGACAUCACCAGUCUUUUUCCUAAUAGCAGUGGAAGCAUGACCAACAUGAACCUGGCUUUGAAGUCUUUUUAAAAUGCAUUAAGUAUUUAGCUGUCAAGAGUUUGUUUACCUCAUAGAGUUGGAAGUUAGCUGUGGAUGAUGUAUCAGGAAACACUUUCAGUUGUCUUUAAGCUACAAAGGCUUCUUUUGUUUAUUUAAUUGAUUAUAUUGCCAUGUCAGUUACACUUUUAUCAACAGAAAUAGCUACAGAACUGGAAGAUGUUGUCCAACAAAUUGCCUGAAGAAGAUUUGAAGUCGGAGGUAGUGAUUCGACAAGUUUUUGCUCAAGAGCUGGGAAAAUCAUAUCCAAUGGUGAACCUCAACAUCUUUGAUGCUGAGAAACUAAAAGAUAAAUUUGCAUGUUGUGCUGAGGAUGAAGUUGCCUAUGCCAGAAAGCUUAUAACAUGCGUGACAGAGGAACAUACCAUUCCUGAUGGACAAGUUUGUCUUUUCCUUUUAUGCUCUCCGUCCCUUGUUUAGGUUUCUGAUUUUUGACUCAAUUCCUUAAAUCUAAAUGUAGACCUAAGUGUAUAAAAGAUUGACAUAAGGACUAAUGGAUAUAAGAAAUUUGCAUAUUAUACUUAAGAAAAAGAAGUGGAAUAUUUUUUAUACUGUAAUAAAUAUAAAAUGAAAGGUCAGGAGAAAGAGAAAGAUAAGAAAAACUGACUAAAAUUAUA